rnacentral:rRNA from 1 species
GGCAUGCCUUACACAUGCAAGUCGAACGGUAACGGGUCUUCGGAUGCUGACGAGUGGCGAACGGGUGAGUAAUACAUCGGAACGUGCCCAGUAAUGGGGGAUAGCUCGGCGAAAGCCGGAUUAAUACCGCAUACGCCCUGAGGGGGAAAGUGGGGGACCGCAAGGCCUCACGUUAUUGGAGCGGCCGAUGGCUGAUUAGCUAGUUGGUAGGGUAAAGGCCUACCAAGGCGACGAUCAGUACCUGGUCUGAGAGGACGAUCAGCCACACUGGGACUGAGACACGGCCCAGACUCCUACGGGAGGCAGCAGUGGGGAAUUUUGGACAAUGGGGGAAACCCUGAUCCAGCAAUGCCGCGUGUGCGAAGAAGGCCUUCGGGUUGUAAAGCACUUUUGUCAGGGAAGAAAUCCUUUGGGCUAAUACCCUAGGGGGAUGACGGUACCUGAAGAAUAAGCACCGGCUAACUACGUGCCACCAGCCGCGGUAAUACGUAGGGUGCAAGCGUUAAUCGGAAUUACUGGGCGUAAAGCGUGCGCAGGCGGUUGUGUAAGACAGGUGUGAAAUCCCCGGGCUUAACCUGGGAAUUGCAUUUGUGACUGCACGACUAGAGUGUGUCAGAGGGGGGUGGAAUUCCACGUGUAGCAGUGAAAUGCGUAGAUAUGUGGAGGAACACCAAUGGCGAAGGCAGCCCCCUGGGAUAACACUGACGCUCAUGCACGAAAGCGUGGGGAGCAAACAGGAUUAGAUACCCUGGUAGUCCACGCCAUAAACGAUGUCAACUAGUUGUUGGGGAUUUACUUCCUUGGUAACGUAGCUAACGCGUGAAGUUGACCGCCUGGGGAGUACGGCCGCAAGGUUAAAACUCAAAGGAAUUGACGGGGACCCGCACAAGCGGUGGAUGAUGUGGAUUAAUUCGAUGCAACGCGAAAAACCUUACCUACCCUUGACAUGGCAGGAACUUUCCAGAGAUGGAUUGGUGCUCGAAAGAGAACCUGCACACAGGUGCUGCAUGGCUGUCGUCAGCUCGUGUCGUGAGAUGUUGGGUUAAGUCCCGCAACGAGCGCAACCCUUGUCAUUAGUUGCUACGAAAGGGCACUCUAAUGAGACUGCCGGUGACAAACCGGAGGAAGGUGGGGAUGACGUCAAGUCCUCAUGGCCCUUAUGGGUAGGGCUUCACACGUCAUACAAUGGUCGGUACAGAGGGUUGCCAAGCCGCGAGGUGGAGCCAAUCCCAGAAAACCGAUCGUAGUCCGGAUCGCAGUCUGCAACUCGACUGCGUGAAGUCGGAAUCGCUAGUAAUCGCGGAUCAGAAUGCCGCGGUGAAUACGUUCCCGGGUCUUGUACACACCGCCCGUCACACCAUGGGAGUGGGUUGUACCAGAAGUGGCUAGUCUAACCGCAAGGAGGACGGUCACCACGGUAGGAUUCAUGA